ensembl:processed_transcript Oxct1as cDNA Sequence BC037032
CUUGAGCCAGCAGCGGUUAACCCGGCCCGGGGUUCUGGGCCUCAGCCGGCGCCAGCAGCUCCCUCAGGUGGGGCGCAAGCCUCAGCGCGCCGCCCUUCUCCGCUCCUCUCCUCCAACCCGCCCUUACCUAGGGCGACGGCCCCGGGGACCCCCUUCCCAAGGGCGUCGGCCUGGAGCCUGGAGUCUGUAGGAGUGGCGGGAGAUGGGGACGCGAGUCCCUGGACGCAGACAGUCUGUCUCUAAGGCGUUGCUGCGUGGCUUUGGUACACAGAGCCUCGAGCGCUUCUCCACCGCUGCAAGCACAGCGGGGAAGUGGAUGGAGAAGCAAAGAGAGACAGGCAGACAGACAGACAAGCGGCGGCGGGGCUACCCUGAAACCCGAGCGUCUCCAAGCCCCCACCCCCAACCCCCGGGCACGGCGCUGCAGAUGCCAGAUCACCGACCAGAGGCGGUGGAGAUGGGCAGGGCAAAGAACGCGCGCCCCGCUCGCGGCUCGUCCGCGCGUGGCCUUCCUCUUGCCCCCCUGCACCUUCAAUUUACCUUAUGCAGGGCGCCCCGCGAGCUGCGGGCUGAGGCGCCGAGCCGAAGCCCAGAGGACAGGAGUUUGAGAGCCGCCAUCUUCGGCCCCGGGUGCGGGAGAAGGUGGCGCGCGCGGGAGUGCGUGCGAGUGCUGGUUGCCCGGGGCCGCGGCGGCGUCACCGGCUAAGAAGAGAGAAGGCAAGGCGAGCGGUAGGGCGGGCUGGAGGCUCGACCGCGCGUCAGUGACGUCCUCGGGACCUCAGAGCGGUGCCGCCCCUUGCUGCCUGCUGGCUUGUCAAGAAGCGAGACAGGGAGGGGCUCACGGCUAGGAAUGGAAAGGCUGCACAGCUAGGACGAGCCCCGCGGGUUGUGCCGGGGCCGGAGGUGCUGGGAUCCAGCUCAUCUGCGGGCACACCCGCAGCGGCGGGCGCUGCACUCAGGCUGGAGGGGGCGCUAGUGCCUGCCUUCCCCUCGCGCAAGGCUUGGCAUCAACCAGGGUUUCGGGUUGCCAAGGGCCUGGAGGGUCUCUUACUGAACGUGUUACUUUUCCAAGUCGCCCUCUGGAAUGAGUACAGGUACAAAGGGUCACUGAUAAAGAUCUCCUUCCAGAUCUAGACAGCUCACCUUUCCAACAUUUCUCAACUCCAACACCCACAACUCUCUUCAAGUCUGGUUUUGCCCUUAGUUUCCUCUGAAACCCAGCAGCGUGCUGACUGACCCUCAUGAGACAUGACCUGCUUAACCGACAGAGGGACAAGAUUAGAACUGGGCUGUUGUUCCCCAUCAUCCUACUCUGUGUUCCAGAAUUUUCCUGGAACCGGAGUCCCAACAAUUCCAGAAAUUACAGAGCAGGAGAAAAUGAAAAUAUAUGAGUUACACAGUCAAAAAAUGAAAAUGAGAGUCAUGUUACGGUGCUAAGAAAACUUCAGGAGAAAAACACAGCCAUCUAAGUGUGCUCAGCUUCAGCAUAGGACACCUGCUUUGGAUUCUCAGCCUCUCCAAUGUCAGGGAGAGACUGCCAUAAUUGACUUUGAUCCCCCUGAAACUGUGAGCCCAAAAAUGAGUCCUUUCUUCCAUAAACUGGUUUUGAUCAUUGUGUUUUAUCACAGCAACCGCUAAAUACAGAAGUUGGUGCUAGAGUGGGCUGAAGCUGUGUAGCACUUGACUGUGUUGCUUUGAAGAGGAAGGUGGAAGACUGUGGAGAUCUGGCCUGGAGCAGCAUCUGGAUACUUUCGGCAGAACUGAAAAGGCAACCCUAAAGGAAGCCUGAAAGAUAACCACACUGAGAGCAAUGAGGACUGUGGAGACCCAGAGCAGAAGGUUUCAGAGAGGAACACUAUCAGCCAUUGGGCUCCAAGCCCUUGUGAUAUUUGGGCAAAGAAUCUAAUGGCCCUAGGCUUUGAUCCUAAGAACUUACCUAAGGGGAAAUUUUUAAAGUAACAGAAUAAUUUCUAUAGUGGAAUAAAAUUUCAAGACCACAUAACAUUGAGUCUGUGGCAUCGUUUUUAUUGAUAAUGCUUCGGAUCUAUGAUGGAAAAGAGACAGAAAUUAAAAAUGGACAUUUUGGUGAGAUAAGGAGCAUUGGGAAUCUUACUGCCCACAUUGAAAUGGAGGCUAUAAUUGCUCAGGAGUCAAGCACCAUUAAGGAGAGACCUGCUCUACACUGGAAUGUGGUUAACACUCCGCCCAGCUAAGCCUCUAGAUUCUGAAAGGAAAAAGACUAAGAGGUGGCUAGCCAAACUUAGCAGGUAUCUCAAUAUGAUGUUAUCUUAGAUGCAUGAAGGAGACCAAGCCCGGUUCAUAGACUCUUCUUCCUGGGUCUCAGGGAGCUGCUGGGGCCAAGAAAUGUGUGGAAGAGGGGUCACUACAUGAAGGCUUUGAGAAGGCAAGAGGCUCUAAGAAAGCAUUGCAGGAAACUGUGAAAGUAAAGCUCUUGCAGUAAAGAUCCCAAAUUUUUGGUGAUUCAGCAGCCACGGCUUACCUGCUGUGACAAGUUACGCUUUAAUUACUGUGCCUAGAGAGAUCCAUGAAACAAACAAACAAAAAAUAUCUCCCUUCCCUAGGGACAGAUACUUCAAAAAUGCUGGAGGCUCUUGUUUAAGAAAGAUAACAAGCCACAUGUUUUCGAACUCAUAAACAAGUUUGUUUGCCCCAACUGCACUGGCUGUCUCUAUCACCAGUAGGCAGAGGUAAGGAAACAGGAAACAUGUCAAGAUAUAUGCUUGUCCUUCGUUGUAUGCUUGUCCUUCAUUGGAUAUUGAUUGGCCUUGUGGGGUUGCCUUUUUAAGCCUCUGCAAGAUGUGAUUCAUCACCAAUUUCUGGGAACCUGGGAGUGAACCGGGUCAGAGUCCAUCCUCCUGGCCAGCAUCUAAUUAAUGAUUGCUUCAAAUUUGACUCAAAGAUUGUGGUAGUGGUCUUAUUCCCAACUGGUGAGAUUAACACUGCCAAAGAGAACUGCAUACAGGGGCAGAACCAGCCCAGGAGACAUAUGUACGUCGCAGGCAGCAAAGGUGGGGGAGUGGAGGUAUCUAAGCCCCUCGACAUCAGAUGUGAAACUACAGAUUUGGUCUUGGCCCUGUUGAGUUCUGAUCUUACUUUGGCAUAGCAUUCCCAUUUAGAAGGUUUGUGGGUAUUAUAUUCUGGGGUAUUACACAUUGAACAUAUGUGAAUUGUGUUUUGAUCUUACAGUGGUUACAAUUAAGAGAGUUCCUUGAGCCUCAGAA